CCUACGGGUGGCAGCAGUGAGGAAUAUUGGUCAAUGGCCGGAAGGCUGAACCAGCCAAGUCGCGUGAGGGAAGACUGCCCUAUUGGUUGUAAACCUCUUUUAUAAGGGAAGAAUAAAGGCUAAGUGUAGCAUGAUGCCUGUCCCUUAUGAAUAAGCAUCGGCUAACUCCGUGCCAGCACCCGGGAUUAUACGGGGGAUGCGAGGGUUAUCCGGAUUUCUUGGGUUUAAGGGGUGCGUAGGCGGUUUUUUAACUUAGUGGUUAAACGUCGGGGCUUCACCUUGAAUUGGCAUUAAUACUGUAAGACUCGAGUUCAGACGAGGUAGGCGGAAUAAGUUAAGUAGCGGUGAAAUGCUUAGAUAUAACGUAGAACUCCGAUAGCGAAGGCAGCUUACCAGACUGCGACUGACGCUGAAGCACGAGAGCGUGGGUAGCGAACAGGAUUAGAUACCCUGGUAGUC
rnacentral:rRNA from 1 species